rnacentral:lncRNA from 1 species
UCCCCUCUUGCAGUCACAGGUUGACUAUAUGCAGAGGUCUCUCAAAGUGUGCCUCAUGGGUCCCUCAGAAUCUGGUUAAGAUGCAGAGAAAUGCCUGGGCCCCAACCCAAAUCUGCUAAAUCAGAUCUUCCGGGGGUGGAAUCUGGAAAUCUCCAUUUUUAGCAAGCUCCCUGGAGGAUGACCUUAGCCACAUGAAAGCUCUUGCAGCCGUGGUGGAAAGGAUCAUCCACGGUGACUUGCAGCUGUGAGUCCAUGAGUCUAGUACACUCUCUCAGGCCUUGAGCGGGGAAGGAAUCAGGGCUUACUGAGCCACCCCCAUCUUCCAGGCACUGUGCUAAGUCCUUUCCAUACCUCAUUUCAUUUCAUCCUCGCAAUAAACCAGGUACUGUUAUUACCACCGUGAAACAGGUGGGGAAACUGAAGCAUGAGGAGCUUGAGUAAUGUGUGUUAGAUCACGCAACCAGUAGUGGCAGAGCUGGAAUUCCGACCUGGGACUGCCUCCAAAGUUCUUGCGUAAGAAUACAGCUGCUACACUUGCCCUUCUUCAGCUGAGACCAAGGAGGGAAUUCUGAUUGAAAGCAAACCAGGGAGGAAAGAUGCACUAGCACUGACCUGUAACAGGUCAAUCUGUGCCAUGGCAUGGCGAGACGAAGUGGAGAACCCAUGUCUCAUUGGAAUCCCGGAUCAUCGUCUCCACGAAGGCUGUCUUCUGCAGCACUCCAGGGACUCACGGCUCUGGGCUUAUUGCUCAGUGUCAUGUGACAGUUUGUACCAGGCACAUCUCCAGAAUUGUUGUCCUUUAGAAAAACAUCUUGGUUCCAAUGAGAAAACAAAUAAAGAAAGCUAGAGUCUUAAAAAGCGAAUUCGGAAAUCAAUCUAUCGACCAGAUCAUUAUCGGGGGCGGGGGGGCCGAAGGGGUCGGGGAGGGCCAUGGUGGUGAAUAGAGAACAACUUUUCAUAGCUCUCCUUUACAGGAAAAUCCAGUAUGGUUUAUCUCUUCCCAAAAUAUUCAUGAUGGUCAUGAAGUAACCCCUGAGCCUGGAAUUGAGUUAAGUUUGGUAUUCACAAAGCUGUGUAACUUUGAACAGGUUGCUUCCCUUCUCUGAGCCUCCGUUCCCCUAUCUGGAAAUCUUGUUAGAUCAUUUCUUUUUUUUUUUUUUUUUUUUUCAGACGGAGUCUUGCUCUGUAGCCCAGGCUAGAGUGCAGUGGCACAUCUCGGCUCACUGCAAGCUCCACCUCCUGGGUUCACGCCAUUCUCCUGCCUCAGCCUCCCAAGUAGCUGGGACUACAGGCACCCACCACCACGCCUGGCUAAUUUUUUGUGUUUUUUAGUAGAGACGGGGUUUCACUGUGUUAGCCAGGAUGGUCUCGAACUCCUGACCUCGUGAUCCGCCCGCCUCGGCCUCCCAAAGUGCUGGGAUUACAGGCGUGAGCCACCGUGCCCGGCCCUUGUUAGAUAGUUUCUAAGAUCAUUAUAGUUCUAACAUUCUGUGAAUUUAGUGCCUGGCAUACACUAAGUGGAAGGAGAGAGAAAGAAAGGAAGGGAGAGGUGAAGGGAGGGAGAAAUCAAUCUGUGAAAGCUGUCUUUCAUAGAGACAAGAAUGAGUGUCUUUUCUGCCUCCAAGGACACUGCCUCUAUCUCCUCAGCACAUGCUGAGUUGAACUGUUGAUAAUGUAAUAAGCUCUGCCUCAUUCUCCCUUGAAAUACCACUUUUUAGCCUGUGUUGUCACAGAAGAAAAUGAGUCAAUUAGAGAAUUCAAGCAAGAGUGCUCUUUAAAAAGGACAUGUAGAUAGUUAAUUGCAGUCAAUUAGACCUGUUGUCUUGGUGGCUGGGUCUCCAGAUAGGAGAAGAAUGGGAAACGCCCAAAGGUUACUCAUCUCUGGCAAGGAAACGCUGAGCUGUGCCAUUUGACAGUGGCAUCCAGGAAGUGUUGGAGCAUCCAACCCUGUCUCCAGGGAGGCUGGCCUCUUCAUCCCUGAUCUCAUCUGCAGGACUUUUUCCCCACUAAGAGGAGCAAAGUUCAAGCACUUUCUCCUUGCCACUGGAGAGAUGAGACACAAAUCAUAGUUAAAAGAAUGGCAUGGCAGGGCUGUGGGACAGCAGGACACACUGUUCUCAGGGAAAUGGUUAUUGGGCAUUUUGCAGAAUGUUUUGAGGAAGCAACUGCUCCUAAGAAUACUGUUAUGUUUGAGCAAUUUCAGACAAAUCUUGGAAAGUUUCUUCACAUGGUGAUAUCAGUUAGGCCCUAUCAACCUCUUCAAAUGAAGCCAAAAUUACCUCUUCUAACCCAACUCCAUAGCUGGUAGAAAUCUAGUGCUACCCCAGAUUCCUGCCAACCUCCAUGUCAUGGAGAUUGGCAACCAAAUUUAUAUGUUGAAGUCCCAGCCCCCAGUACCUUGGAAUGUGCCCUUAUUUGGAAAUAGGUUGCUGUAGACUUAAUUAGCUAAAGUACAGCCACAUCCAAGUAGGGUGAACCCCUAAUCCAAUAUAACUGCCAUCCUUAUUAGAAAAAGAAAUUUGGAGAUUGCCCCACCCCUCGAACCCACACAAACACGGAGAAUGCCAUGGGAAGAUGAAGGCAGAGAUUGGGAUGGUGCUUCUACAGGCCAAGGAAUGUGAAGGACUGCCAGCAGCCCCCAGAAGCUAGGCAGGAAGCAUAGAACAGUUCCUUCCUCAGAACCCUCAGAAGGAACCAACCCUACCAACACCUUGAUCUCAGACUUCCAGUCUCCAGAACUGUAAGACCAUAAAUCGUGUUGCUGAAGCCACUGUCUUACAGUUUGUGGUAUUUCGUUACGGGAGCCCUAGCGAAUGAAUACACUCUGCCCCUACUGAGGAGAUGGUGUUAUGGGAGCUUUGGUCCUCCAGGACCCGCCUCCAGAGCUCUGCCUUUUUCUAUACCUGCUCAACCCAGAAGUGAAACUGCGCUCCUCUUUGCCUGACCCACCACUGGGCACUCAUAUGAAGCUUAUGUGAACUUACUAAAGGUUUGAGAAGGAUGCAAGUCAAGGCCAGUCCUGAAGUGCACACUCUCCAUAAUCCCUGAAGACUCAGACUCUCCUCCUUUACCCUCUCUGUUCCCAAAGCUCCUGGAAGCUCAAAUUCCUUCUGAGCUUUCUCCAUUUUUUUUUUUUUUUUUUUUUUUUUUUUUUUUUUUACAGAGCAGUUUCCCACAUCCUCUGAGAAUUUGCCACCUGCUGCCACCCAGACCCUGAGGAAAGACCCCUUCCUCCAAAGCUCUUUUCAACAUAUUUCUCCAGGCAAAGCUAUUUUCUUCCUCACUGGCACAAAACAUUUUUAAAAAUUAAAUCAUUGUCACUGAUUAAAACAAAAAGAUACUGACUGUAUUAAUUUUCUAUUGCUGCAUAACAACUUACUACCUAUUUAGUAGUUUAAAACACACAUGCAUUUUCUCACUGUUUCUGUAGGUCAGGAAUCCAGGCACCACUUAGUCGGGUUUUCUGUUUAAGAUCUUCUCAAGGCUGCAGUCAAGGUGUUGACAGGGCUGUGUUCUCAUCUGGAGGUUUGACAGGGAAGAGUUCACUUCCAAACUAGCUUGGGCUGUUGGCAGAAUUCAUUUCCUUGUGGUUGGAAGAGGCAAGCCCUCAGCAUCUUGUUGGCUGUGGGCUAGAGGGUGCUCUCAGCUCCCAGAGGCAGCUUCUCCUUGCCAUAUAGGCUUUCCAACAUGGCUGUUCACCUCCUUAAGCCAACAAAGAGAGUCUCUAGAGUGAGUCAGUUAACAAGACAGAAACUUUCACAAUGUAAGGUAAUCAUAGGAGUUACAUUUCAUCACCUUUGUCAUAUUUUCUUGGUUAGAAACCAGAGGUCCCACCCACACUUAAAGGGAGAGAAUUACACAAAGGUGUGAGAGUUAAGGAUCAUGGGAAGCCAUUUUAAAAUUUGUCUGCAUAUGACAAUGCAGCAGGUACAAUUGGCUCCCCGGCAGCCAGCCCACCCCCUAGCUCCAGGGGAAAGCCUGAUUGGUCCAAAGGUAACCAUGCUCUUUUCCAUGAUUGGUUUGGGAAUGAGCAUGUGACCCAUCUCCAGCCUAUGAUGUGAGAAGUGUACUGAGUAACUUCUUAGUUUCCUUGCUCCUAAGACGGAACUAGGAAAAAUGAUGGUUUCUUUUCUUCCUCAGGAUGUUUUAGUGUUUAGUUGGAACCCUGGAUCUGCAGCAACCAUCUUGCUACCAACUUGAGGGUGAAGCCAGCCGUAAGAAUAGCAGGCCGGAAAGAUGGAAGAAACCUGGCUUUCCAAUGUCAUCAUUUGGUUGCUGAAUCAAUUGUACCUAAAGCUCACUCUAUCUGUUUUACCUUGAGUUAGGGUUGCCGUUGCUUGCAGCUAAACGCAUCUUCUUUUUUUUUUUUUUUUUUUUUUUUUUUGAGAAGGAGUCUUACUCUAUCACCCAGGUUGGAGUGCAGUGGCGCGAUCUCAACUCACUGCAACCUCCACCUCCCAGGUUCAAGUGAUUCUUGUGCCUCAGCCUCCCACGUAGCUAGGAUUACAGGCGUGAGCCACCACGCCCGGCUUAUUUUUGUAUUUUUGGUAGAGAAGGGGUUUCGCCAUGUUGCCCAGGCUGGUCUUUAACUUCUGGACCUUAGGUGAUCCACCCGCCUCAGCCUCCCAAAGUGCUGGAAUUACUGGCAAGAUCCACCACACCCAGUCUAAAUGCAUCUGAAUAUAACAUGACUCUCCUAGAGAAAAACCUGGAACCCAGAGCACCUGAAUAGAAACUCUUAAUUAUAUCAAUGAGGAAUAGUUAACUUAGCCAAGUUUCCAUUGAAUAUGAAGAACUGUAAAAUAAUGUCAGUUCUAGCCAAGAACUGAAAAGUAAUGUCAGUACUCUAUAAUGUGUAAUUCAUAGUUGCUACAUGUAAUCAGGCUUGGCCAAUUGUUUCCAGGAAGAUGGCACCCUCAUUUCUGAAUGAGGAUGACCAUUUUCCACUAAUCCAGAGGUAAAACAGUCAUUGUAACUGCACUGAAAUUUGCUGUAUCAAGUGAGACAUGAAGGUAAAUGUCAUUGGCCCAGAGUAAUUAGUCUUUUCCAGUGCUUAAAGGAAGGGAGAGAAACUAAUGCCUAUUGAGUGCCUUCAAAGCUUCUGCAAUGUGCUGGUACCCACAUGUUUCCAAUUAUUCCUCACAACACUAUGGAGAGGUUAUUUUGCCUGUUUUGCUGAUCAGGGAACUGAGACUCACAGAGUGACACCAACCCAUCAGUAUUUCAGGUUUCUGGGGAGGGUCCAGAGAGCAAGGGGGAAGCUGCUAAUUGCUUGUUGGUUCAAGAGAAAUGUUAUCUCAGUAGACUAACGUAUGGACUUUCUGAUGUCAGAAAAUGCAAACUAUGUAGUGUAACCUGUUUGCCAUUUUUUCUUUGUAUCCGCAAACUGACAGCAAAAUAUAUUGCACAAGUAUUAUAAAUCUGUUCAGUUCAAGUGCCAGAGAACAUUUACUCUGCUUCCUUCAUGAGGUAAUUCAAAACUUUGUUUUUAAUAUUUAUUGAGUGUCUGGGUAGGUAAACUGCUAUGCCGUCCUAUGGGGAAUUUCAGAUGUGUUGUCUGUGUGUGUGUGUGUGUGUAUGUGUGUGUGUGUGUGGUGUUUUCUGGUUUUGAUUGUUGACGUUUUCUUGAUUUUUUUUGACAGGAGCAUCUUUAGAUAUUUAUUUAUUUUAUAAUUCAUACAUACAUAUAGUAAAAAGUUCAGAUAGUUUUAAAAUAUAGUGAUGUGUAAAUCUCCCCUCACUUGUGAGCCCCAGGCAUUCAGCUCCCCUCCCUAGACGCAAUUAUUGUAGUCAGUUCAAAGCUUGUUUGUGCACAUACAAGUCUCUGUGUAUAUCCUCUACACACACCCAGAAGAGCAUACUAUACAUGCUCUAGACUGUGUUAUGUUUCUUUGAAUGGCUACGAUGUAAUUUAUUAAUCCAGUUCCCUAAUAAUAGGCAUUUAGGUACUUUUCAUGUUUUUCUCAAUGUGUAAUUGUACCAUUAAAAUUCUUGGGUUUUUUUUUGGUUUUUUGGUUUUUUAUUAAGAGUCUCGCUCUGUUGCCCAGGCUGGAGUGCAGUGGCGUGAUGUCAGCUCACUGCAACCUCCGCCUCCCAUGUUCAAACAAUUCUCGUGCCUCAGGCUUCCGAGUAGCUGGGAUUACAGUCGCCCACCACCAUGCCUGGUUAAUUUUUUUGUAUUUUUUAGUAGAGACAGGGUUUCACCAUGUUGGCCAGGCUGGUCUCAAACUCCUGACCUCGAGUGAUCCGCCUCUCUUGGCUUCCCAAAGUGUUGGGAUUACAGGCAUUAGCCACAGCGAAAAUCCUUGUAUUCAUGCCUUUGCCCAUGUUUGCAAGUAUAACUGGGAGAUAAAAUGCUAGAAUUGCAGGGUCCAAAAAAAAGCACAUUUUAAUUUUAACAACUAUAACCCAGUUGCCUUCCAAAGAGGCUGUACACAUGUUUCCCUGUCUCAAACAGUGGUGAGCAUGCCUGCUCCCCUACAAACUCACCAGCUCAGAGCAUUAUCAGGCUUCUCAUCUCUGCCAACCUGGUAAGUACAAAGGGCAUCUCUUGUAGUUUCGGUUGCAUUUUUCUCAUUAUGAGAUUGAGCAGCAGACAAUGUCUUUAAAAGACUUAUUUUGCUCUGGGUUUUAAUCUUAAAAUACUCUAAAUCCUCUUAGAAGUAGGUAGGGUCAGAUCUUCAAUCUGGAUGGAUUUACGUAAUGGGUCUAUGAAAGGGAUAGAAAGUCAAAGCAAGGGGGUGAGGCGGGGGAAUGAUGCGAAGUCAAAGCCCUCCCCCUCGGGGGCCCCUAGCCCAUCCCUGAUCCCUCACCCUUUGCAGGGCAUGUCCAGAGCUGCCACUGCCCUGGGCCUCCACCCCACAGCCCAGGACCACACCUUAACCUGGAAAGUCGUGGACCUCCUCAGGGGAGCUCAGGGAUCAGAUGGGCCGAUGGGUGUUACUGUGGCCAGGAGCACUGGGUCUUGAGUAUGUGGGUGGAACUUUCCCUCAUCCCCUGACCACGUCUAACCACAUGGCCUCUCCACUUUGAUAGUGGCGAGAAGAGUAGCCUCUUGCUUUUGCAUGUUUUCCUAAUCACAGCGUGCUUUCUUGUCUGCUAUUUCAUUUGACUUUUUUCAACCAGCCGCUGAGGUGGGGAUUAUUAGCACGCCCUUUGCAGAUGAGGAAACUGAAGCCCAGGGAGCUUUGGCAACCUGCCCAAGGUCACACAGCCAGUGAAGGAAAGGGCUGAAAUCAAACCAGGCCUGUCUGACUGCAAGGCAGGGUCUUACGGCUGCCUCCGGUGGGUAGGUCCGGGACCCAGCUGGUUUCCGUCCUGUGGCUCAGGUGCGAGGAGAGCCUCCCUGGGCCACCUGGGGAAGUCUGACUGACGUGCCAGAUCCUCACAGAACAAAGGUAAGGCCUCAGCCUUCCCCCUGGCCCAGGUCUUUCCAUGUCCAGUGCAUUCCUGAAUGCUCCCAGUACUCUGGAAAAUGGGGAUUCAUGCUGCCAUUUUAAUUGGAACCCAAUCUGUUCUGACUUCAAAUCUAGUGCUCCUUCUCCAUCCACCCACCCUCCCUGAACCAUGCCCAGGAGAUCGAGAGAUUUUCCUAAUAAACAAGUCAUGUGCUACAAUGCAUGUGCUACACAACCACUGCCCGCUUUGUCUCUCCCCCUAGGAGAGAAGGGGACUCCUGAGAGGCCCCAGCAGCGUUAUCUGGGCAGAGAAAGUGAGUUUGAAGACCUCACACUCCAUCUGGACUUUAUCAGCUCCUUUCCUGGGUAGGAUUACAGUAAACGAUUAUCUACAGAUCUGGAGCCAGCAAGGACUUUGAAGGCCCCAAUUGCCAAGGGGGUGGUGAAAUGGGGGAAGGGCUGGAGACGCAGGAGAUGAAAAAGCAGUGCAGGCAUCUUAUCUUCCUCCUGAAAUCAAACAGGCUGGGCCUGGGCAGGGUGGGAGAGGUACCCUGUCUGUGAGGCUGACAGUCUCUAGCCCUGGCUGGCCACAAAAGAUACAGAGAGAACCAGAUGAAGGCCCUUCACUGUCUUCUCCUGAUCCUCUCUCCCUCCUCCUGGUUUCUUUUAUUAAUUCAUUCAUUCACUUGCAUCUUUCAGCCUGUUAGUUACAAUAUCUGACACGCUCUGAGCUCUCCCGCCAAGCCAAGUGCUUAGCAUCCAUCCCCUCAUGUGGUCUUCACCAUGACCUUCUGGGAGAGGUGCCAGAAUUAGGCCCAUUUUACAGAUGAGGAAAAUGAAGCCCCAGAGGCUAAGUAAUAGGAUGAGCCUGGGAUCACACAGCUAGUAAAUGGUAGGGUCUGGAUUCUCUUAAACCUGCAUACAUUUAUUCUUCCAUUUCCCCCUGCCUGCCUGCUUUCCUCUCAUAAUUCAUUUAUGUAUUCAGUUUUUCAUAUUCCCAUUGCUUGUUCAUUUUGAAGUUCCUUCCCUUCUUGCUUAUGCAUUUCUUCUGUCCCUUCCUGUCUUCCUCCUGUCUCUUCCUUCCUUCCAUGACCACAUCCUGAGCCUACUGUGUGCCCUGUCACCCUGCCAUCAGGACAUGGGGCUCCUGACAGAUGACUGCUGGGGAGGGAUAUGUGAGACCACCUCCUCCAGGGUCGACCUCCUCAAAUGAGGCUUUUGGGCUGUGCCUCCCUAUGCCUGAUUUGUCCCAGUGUUUGCCAAAAAUUUUAGGCUUUGAUAAUCUUGUGAAGAUGUUUCAGCCAAGCAAGUCUUGAGACUCCAUUGGUGUGGGAGUAAAAGUGGCCUGGGGAAGCCACUUCUUGCAGUUUCCCCUAAGCAAGGCUCUUUCUGUCCUUGCUGUUCUGACAUCCACUCCCUCAGCAAACAUCAUUAAGGACCUAUCAUGGGCAGCCCCUGGGGCCCACUCCCAUCCUCUAGCUGUCUCGAUUUCAUACCUCCCUAGCUCUAGAAAAUUCACUCCUAGAAGGCAGGGAAUUGGCGUCAAGGAACGGGUUCACAGCCUUGGACUCCUUUAUUCAUUCAUCUUUUUUCCUAGCACCUAACACAGGGCCUGGCUUAGACUGAAGGCUAAUAAAUACAGGAUCAAAAGGCAGUGAACCAUCAUUCUCUGUCACUCUCCAGGAGCUGGCCCACUCACCGUGCUAGACAUUGUACUGGAUAUAGUAGUCCCGCAUCGUUGUAUCACUCUCAUUUCUAGCUGGAGAAGUACCCCUCCUUUUCUAGGUGCGGUUAUGGGGUCGCUAUCACCUGAAGUGCCCGCCACUCACCCUGUAGUCUUGGGUGGGUAUGUGAUCUCAGCUAAAACAGUCGAGGUCUCUCUCCCUGGGCUUGGAAUUGUAAACCAAGUGAUGCAGAGAAAGAAAAAACACAAGCCCUUGGAGCCCAUCACAUCCCAUCACCGAUGAGGCUGUCCAGCGGUUCUGGCCCUCAGAAGCCCCAGAGAACUCCAGUUUCUGUCCUUUUCCGAGUGUGGCUUUCUGUCCACUUUAUGGCUGCUCAACCUCCCUCCAGUAUGCCCCUUCUCCCCUUAGUCAGUGAAUGUCUGUUUCUGUGCUUGCAAAUGAUAAAUCCUAAAUGAUGCCCCAGGACAUGGUUUCCAAGGCCAGCUAUUGGAGCCUCACCAGAAAUGUUCAUUCUGCCUCAUCAGUGUCUUGGCUAUUGCCUUUUUGGAACUGCUCUGACCUCUCCUCUUUCCAUCCUGCAGCACCCCCUCUCUCAGCACCAGGGAGCUCCUCCAGGAGCACUUCCUCCCAUGUCUGUGUUCGCCGUUAAGACUGGACACACCAGGAUGAUCUUUCAACUUUGGGUCCAAAGGCCCUCAGUGGAUGUAAAAUAGGUACAUGAGGCCUUGAACUGAACAUUUUUUUCACUUCACCAUAACCUGGAUUUUCCCAGUUUAGGAGCAUCUGUUUGUCUUGAUAACGUUUGGAACAAAGUGAAAAAAACUGGACUUUGAAGAGAACUUCAGGUGAAUUACACAUUUAAGUCAGAUUUUCCAUGUCUUUGUCCCAUGUUCAGUAAUUCAAGCUGUUAGGAGCCCUCAACUUUGUACAUAUAUUUCCUUCCUAUCUCUGCCUCUUCAUACCUGGUACUUACCGUGGAAUUUGAAAUCUUUCUGUGGCUGUAAGCAAGAAAGGCGGGAAAAAUACAAGAAGUUAAAGGGGAUUGGAUGGUUCAGAUUUGGUUGAUGAAUGAGAUGGUUUAGAGGCAUGUCUUGUAAGAGAUAAUUUUCUAUGUGCCAGGUACUAUUUAUGAAUCCCACAUUAUCUUAUUAAUGCUCACAACAAGCCUUGGGGGUAAAUAGAUUAUCAUCGCCAUUUCACAGAUUAGGAAAGUGAGGUUUCAGCAGUCAAUUGCUCAAAGGUCUCCUGCUAGUGAAACAGUCGUCUAUCCAAACAGUCUGAAUGACCUGUGCACAUGGGAACGUGCCACGCAAGCCAAGGGCAGGAAGGAUGAGAAGAGGUGGGCAGAAAGCCAGCUGGGAUGAAUGAAGGACCUACUACGUGCAGGCCCAGGGUCAGACAUUUUAUUUUCUUGAUUGCACUUCAGCCUCCCAGCAGCCCUGUUUUACAGAUGAAGAAACUGAGGCUCAAAGAGCUGGAGAAAGUUGUUGCCCAGGGUCCUGUGGAGAGAAAACUCAAGCUCCGGCUGUUCCACUACUCUGGGACACCACCCCCAGUGGGAACCCCACUUUUACAAGGAUUCGAAGGUAGGUGAGGACUUAUCUCCUGAAAUAAUUAGUAUACUUACUUUUUUGUUACAUAUUCCCACUAAAGGUUUGCAGCCCCACCCAGCUUGAAUAUCAGGAGAAUGGCAACAAAAUCUGGUUCAAGGCUCACAGAAUCCACGAAAGAUGCCAGCCCCUCCACGGUUGGAGAGUGAUUCACAAAUGUGUCUUUAAGGACUUUCCCAGGCCGGGCACAGUGGCUCACACCUGUAAUCCCAGCAAGCCGAGGCGGGAGGAUCACCUGAGGUCAGGAGUUUGAGACCAGCCUGGCCAACAUGAUGAAACUCCGUCUCUACUAAGAAUACAAAAAUUAGGCAGGCGUGGUGGCAUGCACCUGUAAUUCCAACCACUUGGGAGGCUGAGGCAGGAGAACUGCUUGAACCGGGGAGGCAGAGGUUGCAGUGAGCCAAAAUCACACCGCUGCACUCCAGCCUGGGCAACAGAGUGAGACUGUGUCUCAACAACAACAACAACAACAACAAACAGAAAAAAAAGAAAAAAAAAGGACUUCCCCAUCUCAGAGCAGAAGACAAACCCAGGUGACUCUGAGUCUGCACAGAAAAGGCAAGGGUGACCAAGAGUGAGGAGGUUAAGCACCUGUUGCUUUCAGCUCAGGUCCUGACCACAGCCCUUAAUAAGGACAAACCUCUCAGAUUGCUGCAGCCUUCAAUACGCAUGUUCCUAUAGUGCCUGGCCAAUAAGAAGUACUUACACAGUAGCUGUUAUUAUUGUAAAGGCGGCGCAAAGAGUUAAGGAAGGCCGGUAGCUAAGCUGAAUCUGAGUUGCAUCUUGUAGGCCAUGGUAUGUGAAAGAAGGGCAGGCCAGGAGGGGGAACAGAGUGAGUAAAGCCCAGAGGCAGGGGCAUGGAAAAGCAGGGAGGAGUUAAGCUUGGGGCAAAUAUCCUAAAUGAAGGGGAAUAAAAGGCAACAAAGUUUGCAAGUUGCACCGGGGCCACAUCUUGGAGUUGUUUGAGAACAUGUCCCAUGAGGCUGCAUUUAACACCAGCCACUCGCGCUUCCACCCCAACAGCAGGAGUAUCACAUCCACAUGCCAUGUGCGCAAUUCCUUACUUUAUAUCCUCCUCUAAGAUAAAUCUACCCUCCCUCUUUUUUAAGCAUAAGAGCAUUUAUUCUAAAAGGAAACUUUUGGCCAGGCAUGGUGGCUCACGCCUGUAAUCCCAGCACUUUGGGAGGCCUAGGCUGGUGGAUCAUGAGGUCAGGAGUUCGAGACCAGCCUGACCAACAUGGCAAAACCCCGUCUCUACUAAAAAUACAAAAAUUAGCCGGGUGUGGUGGCACGUGCCUGUAGUCCCACCUACUCGGGAGGCUGAGGCAGAAGAAUUGCUUGAACCCGGGAGGCAGAGGUUGCAGUGAGCUGAGAUCACACCACUGCAGUCCAGCCUGGGCAACAAAGCAAGACUCUGUCUCAAAAAAUAAAUAAAUAAAUAAAUAAAAGGAAACUUUUGCUCACUAAUGGAAAUGGAAGUGGCACCUGUCAUAGGCAGAGACAAAUUGUCAAAGUAAACAACUUUUAAGUCUCACUAGACACUCCUGCCCCAGCAGAAUCUGGUCAAAAGCUAGGUCAGCAAAUUUCAGAGGCAGUAUUAAGGACAAAGUAGCAACAAUCCAAACUUUCUUUUUAGGUACUCAGAAAGACUAACAGAACAUUGAGAAGGGGUGUUAGUCACAUCCCCAAACUGCAAGAGGCCAGAAGAUAGCGAGGGGUCUUUCAAACAAUCUAAAAUCUGAGACCCCAAUGUUGGAAAAGAGAAGGAAGGGAAUGGGUUAAAGUGCCAGUUGCUCCCUCCUCAGAUAGCAGGGCCCUGGACAUCCCUAAGAUGUCCCCUUCCUCUUUCAUCCUUCCCUGAUUCCAGCCUCCCCACCUUCCCCAGGCUGGCUUGCCUGAUUUUGUGAGCUCUUCAGCCGGCUUAAAGUGUAAUUCUGUAUUUCUGAUUCUAUCUGUGUUCCAGGAGGCAUUAUCUCUAUCUCUGUAAUAGCUUCUCAAGCAAAAACAUUUUACUGGGUAAAAGAGCAAGGAAUAGGCAUGACCUGAUGCUGAUUUAAAGCAAGAUUCCAGGCAAGCCCCAGAGCCCUCUCUAAGUAGCCUCUCUCCUUUCUGCUGUCUAACGAAACAGCUCCUAAUGGCCAUGGUAUCAUAUUGUAUCUCAUAUUUACACAGCACUCGGCACACAUUCACUUAUUCAGCGGACAUCCAUUGAGGGCCUAUUAUGUGCCAAGUCUUCUGGGUGCUGGCAAUCAACAGUGAACAAAGACCCGUGAGGUUCUUGCUCUACUUGGGAAAACAGGCAAUAAACUCUGAAACAAGUAAAUAAACACGAUCAUGAUGAGGCUACUGAAAAAGCAAUGUGGUAGCAGCGUGACGAUGAUGUGCCAUGGGAGACAGGUGGCAACAUCAAAAAAGGUAGACUGCCCCCGCCCUCCGAAGAGGUGGCAUGUGAGCAAGAAGGAGCCAGCCAAUGGAAAGCUCUGAAAGCAGAGUCUUUUAAAAACAAAACAAAAUCAAAAAACAAAAACAGGGCUCAAAGAAGAUGUCUGCACUUCUGCCAGACGGGGCAGAAAGAAGAUAAUGGUGCUCCAAUCAGGGAGACUGUGGAGGCAGUACAGGUGACAGGAGGCAGGGAAACGAGAAUUAGCCAGAAACACAGUAGGUUUGCCAUGUCAGUCAGACACUCGAGUGUGUUCUUGCUCUUCUCAACAAACCAUAAAGUAAGGACGAUCAGUGUUUCCCAUUUUACAGACAGGAAAACUGAAGCUCGGGAAGGCUACCCAGGUACAUAGGGGCAGUGGUGGGAUGUGAAUCUAUGGUUUAGGAUGCUGACGCCAGCACUAUCCCACCUGCCUCAUGGUAGAGCAGUGUCCAGACACAGAGGUGGCAAUGCAGCAGCUCAAGUGGCAGCUCCAGCACUGCAUGUGUUUUGUCCGUUCUACAUGGGUUUGGAAAAACUCACCUGAGCUAGCGAUCAACUCUUAAAUAUAACCCUUCACUCAAAAAUCUGGCUGUCUAUCUGAAAAUAUUUGAAGACCUGGUCAUAGUGGGACCAUGAUUUGAAUGACAACAAUGGGCUGGAGCAGUAUCUCUGCCCACCUUGAGAGAGGGAUGGGCACUCUGUUUUUCCACAGCCCCCACCUCUCCCGAUUGCUUGCCCCGGCCCCUUCACUCCUCUCCAUUGCAUUCAUGGCCUCCCUAUGCAUUCGGCUUUGAGGCCCCAGCUCUCUAGUGAUGAAAUAUGUGGGAAGAUCCACAAAGCCCAGCAAACGAGGAGUGACCAGAGGAAUUGAGUUACAGUUCCUCCCUAGAACACUUUCCUGCCUUUCUGAUGUAAUCACUUUGCGCAAACAGUAGGAAAUGUUCAGAAGAGCUGCUACAAGGCGGUGAUUAAGAGGUCAGGCCUGGUUCUUAAUUCUAGCUUCAGCAAGUCCUAUCUGUGGGACUUGGGCAAGUUCUAAAAACCUCAGUUUCUUUAUCUGUAAAGCGCAAAUAAUAAUAAUGCCUACUUUAUAAGUAGGAUUAGGGGAAACAGUAAUUUAGGAAACGUGCUCGGAAUGAUGCUAGUUUCGUGGUGAGUAUCCAAUAGAUGGAGCCGUAGUUGUCUUUCUCAUCUUAGAAAGCAGCUGAUUCUCCCAUGUCAUGACAGUGUUUGUGCAACUCCUCUGGAAUUCUCUCCUUUCUUCCUUAGGAGAGCAUUUUCUCAAUGUUCCUCUUUAUCUUUCUCCAAACACAAAGACAAAUCUAAGAGGAAAAAAAAAAUCUUCAAACUGGGUCGCAGAUACUCAGCUUCUUGUCAAUUCUCAUUAGGGUUUAAAAGCUCAGUCUCCUGCAUAUGCCCAAAGAUAAAGCAAUCCCUUCCAUUCCUAAUUCAAAGAACCAAAAAAAAAAAAAAAACAUGUGGUUGGACCUGGUUGAAUAUAUAAACUUUUGGGGAUGGCAAUAAACUAGGCAAAGUCCUGGUUAUUCAAUUUAUUAGCUCAGUUGUGCAACGUAGAAAUAAACAGAAAAUUACUUAUAAUUUUACAAUAAUAUUCAUUUAGAAACAUCACUUUUCUCCAUAUACGUGUUGCAUGAAACAGCUUUACUCCAUUCUUUGCCACACAUAAGGAGGCCGAGGAGGGAAGAUGGCAUGAGGCCAGGAAUUCAAGGCUGCAGUGAGAUAUGAUUGCACCACUACACUUCAGCCUGGGCGACAGGGUGACACCUCAUCUCUAAAAAAUAAAAUAAAAUAAUAAAAAAAUUUUGGAAAUUUUUAAAGCGUCUGCUCCACAGAGCCACAUUUUGCAUUGUGCAGUUUCGUUUUUCAGACCUUUCUCCUCUCUUCCAUCUGACUGCCCUGAGAUCCAGCACUUUUUGCUUCCACAUCUGAGGCUGUCGCUGGAAACAAGGUCUCCAUCCCAUUUGCAUGACAUGAGCACAGUCGGGAUUUGUAUUCAUUCUGUGGGUGUGUGUAUAUUCGUGCUCUCCACAAAAGAACCACUCAGCAUUGCUUUUUCAAGCCGAGCUUUAAAAGGCUUAUUUGCCAUGACAUCCAGCACUUGUAAUUUGAGGUCAUACCCCGAGGAAGAAUUGCUAAAUCUGUGUAAAAUGUUUCUGACUCCUUUUCUUACAGAUUCUGUCAGAUUAUCUCUUUAAGAAUUCUAAGCCCAUGUUGUUUGAGGUGGUUUUAGGCUAAUGUACAUUCCCCAAACAUUUCUUUGCUGUUCAAAAUAAAGCAAUUGAGAGGGUUCUUCGUAAAAACGAAGCACUUUGCAAGAGCUCAAGACAAAAGACAACUCCCUUUUUUCUAGGGGGUAAUUUUGAGGAUAGAAGAAAAACAGUGUUCUAUGUAAGCCUGUACAAUCACGAGAGCCAUUUGCUGAGGGCCAUGUGUGCGAGUGGUUCGUGUGCUCUCCACCUCCUCUUCUUCCUCCCAGGGGAUGAAAUGAGGCCCAACAAGUGCAAGACAUGGACCAUGUCAGCUCGUGACAGAACAGGGCUGGAACCCAAGUCUGCUAGGCUCAGCCCACUCCCUCCCUGUGCCGAGUUGACAUAUUCUACUUACAUUAAGCCAAGUGCUGGGCUCUGAUUAUACAAAAUCAGAUAAGCCAGGACCCUGUGUUCAAGGAGCUCCCAGGCCUGCUGGGGUGAGAGUGGAGCAGCAAGGAUGGAAGUGCACAGAUGCAAGGGUGGCCAGGCCUAUGGGGAUACAGGCAAGGGAGGCUGAGUGUU